rnacentral:rRNA from 1 species
UACGUAGGGGGCAAGCGUUGUCCGGAUUUAUUGGGCGUAAAGAGCGUGUAGGCGGCCAGAAAAGUCCGCUGUGAAAACUCGAGGCUCAACUUCGAGCUGUCGGUGGAAACUUUCUGGCUAGAGUCCGGAAGAGGAGAAUGGAAUUCCUGGUGUAGCGGUGAAAUGCGCAGAUAUCAGGAAGAACACCCGUGGCGAAGGCGGCUCUCUGGGACGGUACUGACGCUGAGACGCGAAAGCGUGGGGAGCGAACAGG